GAUGAAGAACGUAGCGAAAUGCGAUACUUGGUGUGAAUUGCAGAAUCCCGUGGACCAUCGAGUCUUUGAACGCAAGUUGCGCCUCAAGCCAUUAGGUUGAGGGCACGUCUGCCUGGGCGUCACAUAUCGUUGCCUGAUGCCAGUUUCCUCGUGAUGGGUGACUGUGCAGGGCGAAUGAUGGCUUCCCGUGAGCAUUGUUGCCUCAUGGUUGGUUGAAAAUUGAGUCCUUGGUAGGGAGCGCCGUGAUAGAUGGUGGUUGAGUGACGAACGAGACCCAAUCAUGUGAGACCCCUACCGAAUUUGGCCUUCAUGACCCACAUGCGUCUUUGGAACGCUCAUGACGAGACCUCAGGUCAGGCGGGGCUACCCGCUGAGUUUAAGCAUAUCAAUAAGCGGAGGA
rnacentral:misc_RNA from 1 species